AUUGAACGCUGGCGGCAUGCUUUACACAUGCAAGUCGAACGGUAACAGGGUGCUUGCACCGCUGACGAGUGGCGAACGGGUGAGUAAUACAUCGGAAUGUACCCAGUAAUGGGGAUAACGCUUCGAAAGGAGUGCUAAUACCGCAUACGCCCUGAGGGGGAAAGUGGGGGACCGCAAGGCCUCACGUUAUUGGAGCAGCCGAUGGCUGAUUAGCUAGUUGGUGAGGUAAAGGCUCACCAAGGCGACGAUCAGUAGCGGGUCUUAGAGGACGAUCCGCCACACUGGAACUGGGACACGGUCCAGACUCCUACGGGAGGCAGCAGUGGGGAAUUUUGGGACAAUGGGCGAAAGCCUGAUCCAGCAAUGCCGCGUGAGUGAAGAAGGCCU
rnacentral:rRNA from 1 species